GUUUUUCAUUACAUGACCAGACGACGACGCAGGGAUGGUGAAGAAGCGUUUGAUGGGAAAACCCGACGUGUGGAAAUCUGACUGCAGCAGCGACGUUAUUCCACUAGAGGGAAACCACGAGCUGUUAUCUGAUCGCUGCGUUCACGUCAGACUGGAACUCCUCCACGAUUACCUGCUUUCAGUUCAUCUGUUAAAGCAGUGCAGUAGUUUACCAUAUCAAACUCAGAUCGAGAGGCGAGAAGCACCUGAUCCCAGACCAGCGCCGGCCCGCUGAAGGUUACUGGUUUACCGUGUUGUUAACCUGCUGUUGCUAGGAGACCGGGCUCACCUGUGGGGCAGUUGAUGAGCUGCAGAACGAGAGGACGGCGGGUGACGAUGCCAGAGCCGCGCGGGAGGAAGUCCCUGUGCAACAGACAGAGAGAAGCAACGGCUCCUUGGGCUGAAAAGCUCUGAGAAAACACCCAGUGAACACGGCUGUGAGUUCUGCACAAGCAAACACCACCCUCGUUUUGGGAAGCGUUCUGUGAUCAGUAAACAUGCCUGAGGAGACUCUGGCGUCCUCCUGCACCUUCACUCUCACUGUGACGUGCUGAUCCGUCCAGAUGGCAGUAACUGCAGGUUCUCGUGACAGCCAUAAAAACAUGCCAUAUGGAGCGGCCAUAUGGACGGCUGCCACCCUCCCAUUGAUCCACUCACACCAGCCAAUAAUCAGUAUUGAUCUGAAGAACGGACAGUGUAUUGAUACACACACACACACACACACAAGCGGCGCUCAGAUCAGUGUCUCAAACAAAUGGUAAAAUAUGACCUGUGCAUUUCACUGUGAGAUUCACUAAAACGCUGGCAUCCCUGCAGCCGUGUGGCUUAGAAACAUCCCAUAAUAACAGCUAAAAAUCAACAACAGCAGCGGCAGCAGUGAGUGUUUCCCUGUGAAGGAGAGGGAGGAGGACAAAAAGAGAUGUGACUCUCUCUCUCUGUGUGUGUGUGUGUGUGUCUCUCGUCCCAUCCCCCAGUGUCUGCAGGCAGCUGUGAUGAUGGACAGGCCGAUUGGACCCCUCCCCCAAUCUAAUCCUAGAGCUCCGCCUCCUCCCCCGCCGCAUGCAGCGUCAGCACAUCACACACACGACAGCAAACACUGGGAUGAACACAACCACCAGUAAAACAGAGAGAGUGACAGGGCAUUAUCUUGCAAUUAUUACAUGCAAAUGUGCAUUAAAAACUGAAGGGGAGCGAGAGAAACAGGACAGACAGAUAGUAGGGAUGCACAAUAUAUCGGCCACCAUACCGGUAUCAGCCGAUAUAUGUUAAUUUUUAAUGUUAUCAUUUGGCCGAUGUAUUAAAGCAGAUAAAUAAUGGAUUAUUUCCUUCAGCUGAGACACUUCAGAUGCACACUGUCCACCAUGAUGGUUUUGAAUUGCUUGAAAUAUGAUUAUAAUCACGUCAAAAAGGAAAAUACAGUACAGUGCAACAUGUGCAGCGCAAGUCUGUCAGAUAGGAUACAUAAAAUUAUAUGUAUAUUGUGUGAUUGGGACAUUGCUUUUAAUGUUGAGACUUUAGUUUUUGUAAUCAGGCUCUCAAAAAUUAUAUAAAAAUUUGGAUUUAGAUUAAUCGGCCAACAUAUCGGUUAUUGGUAAUUAUUGGUUAUCGGUAUCAGCUAAAAUGUUCAUAUCGGUGCAUCCCUAGUAGAUGGAUGGAUGGUAGUCUUUCAGAUGACUGUAGUAAUUGUCCUGUUUUCUACUGUUAGACUUGGUUAACUCACACCCUACACAACACCACCUGCUCACAUUCUGGUGUGUGUGUGUGUGUGUGUGUGUGUGUGUGUGUGUGUGUGUGUGUGUGUGGGGUUGAAAAACACACAGCAAGAGCUGUGCCAUGCCAAGACAUCCCUGUCCUCUCAAUGUCAGAUGUGGUCGUACAUACUUUCAUCAUUUAUUUGUGCUUCUUCAAAUGCGUUUUAUGUCUUGUGAUUUUAUCAUGUUUAUUACGUACAGAUUUCAGGAGAGAACAGUGUCAGUGAAGAGCUUGAGAUGAGACACGUGAUGUGUGAAGAAAACAGAAAAUCAAGGUAUGAUGGUGCAUUAGUCAUCACAGACGGCUGGUUUUGUGAACAGGUCACACUCUCAGGAGAAUGAAGGGUCAGAUUAAAGCAGCGAAUGAACCCGGGACCAUCAGAUUAGAGUUGUUGACGAGCCUGAGGAAGUUUGUUCAGAACGUUUCCUACGUUAAACAUGAGAAAAUCCCACAGAUGCACAUUGAAAGAGGAACCCGAGCCACAUCUACAGACCAGAGAUCAGGGUUAUUUUAGUGUAGAUUUAUAGUUUUCACAUACACUAGGUUUUAUUUUUAUAUUUCCCAUUUUCAUUUUAAAGUUUUAGUAGAAUUUAAUGCUAGUUUUUGUUAAAACACAUCGAUUUUAACACCAAUUCUUCAGUAAAAAUAUGUUAAGCAGGCGUGAACAGUGUUAUUUUAGUAUCAUUGAAAUACUAUUAUAGUUGUCACGAAUACGGCUCCCGCGGCUUCCCCUCCCGGCCGCCGGAGGGAGCCAUCACCUGAGUUUUGAGUUACUUUCUUCUGGACUACGUUACCCAUAGGCCCUCAUUCCUGGGACUGAUUGCGCACACCUGCACCGCAUCACACUCACACUAUUUAAGACGCACACACGCAUCCAUACACUGCAAAGUCUUGAUUUGCCCUGGUGAUCACUACUGAGCGUUUUCUUGUGGACUGUUACCCUGUUAUUGUUUGGACUGUUUAUCUCCUGUGAACCUCUGCCGCCUGCCUUGAACCCUGCCUCUUUCCUGGAUUACGUUUGCUUGCCGCCUGCCCUGAACUCUGCCUGUUGUAAGACCCUGUAUCUCUGCCGCCUGUCUCGACCUAAGCCUGUCCCUGUUUCUGAUACGGUCUUGCCCUUGUCUGCUUUGUGCUUGGUUGUUACAAUAAAGAAACUGCAAAUGGAUCCUCACGCUGUCGGCCCAUCAUUACAAUAGUUUUAUUAAUAUUUUGAAUCGUUUUUAUUUUUAUAAUUCCCAAUUUUCAGUUCAAUUUUAGUCAUUUUUUGUUUGUUUGUUUGCUUUUUUAAGUAUAUCUAUGUAGUUUUCAUUUUUA